AUACGUAGGGGGCGAGCGUUGUCCGGAGUUACUGGGCGUAAAGGGCGCGCAGGCGGCCAUUCAAGUCAUGGGUGAAAUACCGGGGCUUAACCUCGGGGGUGCCUGUGAAACUGGGUGGCUUGAGGGCCGGAGAGGACAGUGGAAUUCCCGGUGUAGCGGUGAUAUGCGUAGAGAUCGGGAGGAACACCAGUGGCGAAGGCGACUGUCUGGACGGCACCUGACGCUCAGGCGCGAAAGCCCGGGGAGCAAACGGGAUUAGAUACCCCGGUAGUCCGGGCCGUAAACGAUGAGUGCUAGGUGUGGCGGGUAUCGACCCCCGCCGUGCCGGAGUUAACGCAAUAAGCACUCCGCCUGGGGAGUACGGCCGCAAGGCUGAA
rnacentral:rRNA from 1 species